UUUUCAGUUUCCUUCAAAUGCAGCAGAAGUAUGUUGUAUUAUUAGAGCAUCACCAGGAACUAGACAAGUGAAAAACAAAGGUGUUAUUGUAAAGAAGAAGAAAUAUUCCCCUCCUAAAGAUAUCCCUCAAGACAUUAUAAUAAAAAUGGCAUGACAUAACAGCUGUGGCUGAAUUUUCAUACUUUGAAGACAUGAAUGUGAAGUCAGAGUCCAUAAAGCAGAAUGUCUGCCUGAAAUUAUAUAAAUUAUAUAAAAAUUAAAAAUUCUGUAGUUUUUGUGAUAUGUCUC